GUGUGACUGCGUACCUUUUGUAUAAUGGGUCAGCGACUUAUAUUCUGUAGCAAGGUUAACCGAAUAGGGGAGCCGAAGGGAAACCGAGUCUUAACUGGGCGUUAAGUUGCAGGGUAUAGACCCGAAACCCGGUGAUCUAGCCAUGGGCAGGUUGAAGGUUGGGUAACACUAACUGGAGGACCGAACCGACUAAUGUUGAAAAAUUAGCGGAUGACUUGUGGCUGGGGGUGAAAGGCCAAUCAAACCGGGAGAUAGCUGGUUCUCCCCGAAAGCUAUUUAGGUAGCGCCUCGUGAAUUCAUCUCCGGGGGUAGAGCACUGUUUCGGCAAGGGGGUCAUCCCGACUUACCAACCCGAUGCAAACUGCGAAUACCGGAGAAUGUUAUCACGGGAGACACACGGCGGGUGCUAACGUCCGUCGUGAAGAGGGAAACAACCCAGACCGCCAGCUAAGGUCCCAAAGUCAUGGUUAAGUGGGAAACGAUGUGGGAAGGCCCAGACAGCCAGGAUGUUGGCUUAGAAGCAGCCAUCAUUUAAAGAAAGCGUAAUAGCUCACUGGUCGAGUCGGCCUGCGCGGAAGAUGUAACGGGGCUAAACCAUGCACCGAAGCUGCGGCAGCGACGCUUAUGCGUUGUUGGGUAGGGGAGCGUUCUGUAAGCCUGNGAAGGUGUGCUGUGAGGCAUGCUGGAGGUAUCAGAAGUGCGAAUGCUGACAUAAGUAACGAUAAAGCGGGUGAAAAGCCCGCUCGCCGGAAGACCAAGGGUUCCUGUCCAACGUUAAUCGGGGCAGGGUGAGUCGACCCCUAAGGCGAGGCCGAAAGGCGUAGUCGAUGGGAAACAGGUUAAUAUUCCUGUACUUGGUGUUACUGCGAAGGGGGGACGGAGAAGGCUAUGUUGGCCGGGCGACGGUUGUCCCGGUUUAAGCGUGUAGGCUGGUUUUCCAGGCAAAUCCGGAAAAUCAAGGCUGAGGCGUGAUGACGAGGCACUACGGUGCUGAAGCAACAAAUGCCCUGCUUCCAGGAAAAGCCUCUAAGCAUCAGGUAACAUCAAAUCGUACCCCAAACCGACACAGGUGGUCAGGUAGAGAAUACCAAGGCGCUUGAGAGAACUCGGGUGAAGGAACUAGGCAAAAUGGUGCCGUAACUUCGGGAGAAGGCACGCUGAUAUGUAGGUGAAGUCCCUCGCGGAUGGAGCUGAAAUCAGUCGAAGAUACCAGCUGGCUGCAACUGUUUAUUAAAAACACAGCACUGUGCAAACACGAAAGUGGACGUAUACGGUGUGACGCCUGCCCGGUGCCGGAAGGUUAAUUGAUGGGGUUAGCGCAAGCGAAGCUCUUGAUCGAAGCCCCGGUAAACGGCGGCCGUAACUAUAACGGUCCUAAGGUAGCGAAAUUCCUUGUCGGGUAAGUUCCGACCUGCACGAAUGGCGUAAUGAUGGCCAGGCUGUCUCCACCCGAGACUCAGUGAAAUUGAACUCGCUGUGAAGAUGCAGUGUACCCGCGGCAAGACGGAAAGACCCCGUGAACCUUUACUAUAGCUUGACACUGAACAUUGAGCCUUGAUGUGUAGGAUAGGUGGGAGGCUUUGAAGUGUGGACGCCAGUCUGCAUGGAGCCGACCUUGAAAUACCACCCUUUAAUGUUUGAUGUUCUAACGUGGACCCGUAAUCCGGGUUGCGGACAGUGUCUGGUGGGUAGUUUGACUGGGGCGGUCUCCUCCUAAAGAGUAACGGAGGAGCACGAAGGUUGGCUAAUCCUGGUCGGACAUCAGGAGGUUAGUGCAAUGGCAUAAGCCAGCUUGACUGCGAGCGUGACGGCGCGAGCAGGUGCGAAAGCAGGUCAUAGUGAUCCGGUGGUUCUGAAUGGAAGGGCCAUCGCUCAACGGAUAAAAGGUACUCCGGGGAUAACAGGCUGAUACCGCCCAAGAGUUCAUAUCGACGGCGGUGUUUGGCACCUCGAUGUCGGCUCAUCACAUCCUGGGGCUGAAGUAGGUCCCAAGGGUAUGGCUGUUCGCCAUUUAAAGUGGUACGCGAGCUGGGUUUAGAACGUCGUGAGACAGUUCGGUCCCUAUCUGCCGUGGGCGCUGGAGAACUGAGGGGGGCUGCUCCUAGUACGAGAGGACCGGAGUGGACGCAUCACUGGUGUUCGGGUUGUCAUGCCAAUGGCACUGCCCGGUAGCUAAAUGCGGAAGAGAUAAGUGCUGAAAGCAUCUAAGCACGAAACUUGCCCCGAGAUGAGUUCUCCCUGANUCCUGAAGGAACGUUGAAGACGACGACGUUGAUAGGCCGGGUGUGUAAGCGCAGCGAUGCGUUGAGCUAACCGGUACUAAUGAACCGUGAGGCUUAACCUU
rnacentral:rRNA from 1 species